rnacentral:snRNA from 1 species
UAGACCUCCAACGAAGCA